CCUACGGGUGGCAGCAGUGAGGAAUAUUGGUCAAUGGACGAGAGUCUGAACCAGCCAAGUAGCGUGAAAGAUGACUGCCCUAUGGGUUGUAAACUUCUUUUAUAUGGGAAUAAAAUGUUCCACGUGUGGGAUUUUGUAUGUACCAUAUGAAUAAGGAUCGGCUAACUCCGUGCCAGCAGCCGCGGUAAUACGGAGGAUCCGAGCGUUAUCCGGAUUUAUUGGGUGGAAAGGGAGCGUAGGUGGAUUGUUAAGUCAGGUGUGAAAGUUUGCGGCUCAACCGUAAAAUGGCAGUUGAAACUGGCAGUCUUGAGUACAGUAGAGGUGGGCGGAAUUCGUGGUGGAGCGGUGAAAUGCUUAGAUAUCACGAAGAACUCCGAUUGCGAAGGCAGUUCACUGGACUGCCACUGACAUUGAUGCUCGAAAGUGUGGGUAUCAAACAGGAUUAGAUACCCGGGUAGUC
rnacentral:rRNA from 1 species